CCAUUUACUUCAAUAGUAUUCUUUUUUCCUACUAUGGAAGUGAAUGGGGUCCACAAACGGUUUGGUUACAAACAUUUCUCAAAAUAUCUUCCUUUGUGUUGAUCAGAACAAAGAAAUUUAUACAGGUUUGUAACAACAUAAGGGUCAGUAAAUGAUGGCAGAAUUUUCAUUUUUGGGUGAACUAUCCCUUUAACAUCAUUUAUCAAAAUAUCUUCUUUUGUGUUCAUCAAAAUAAAACCAUUCAUACAGGUUUAGAACAACAUGAGGGUGAGUAAAUGAUGACAGAAUUUUCAUUUUUGGGUGAACUAUCCCUUUAACAUCAUUUAUCAAAAUAUCUUCUUUUGUGUUCAUCAAAAUAAAACCAUUCAUACAGGUUUAGAACAACAUGAGGGUGAGUAAAUGAUGACAGAAUUUUCAUUUUUGGGUGAACUAUCCAUUUAAAGUUGCCCAAUUAUGCAUGAAAACUGCAGACUUGGCAACCCUGUACCUUAAUUACCUGUUAAUACAAUGCAUCGUUAUCCUCAGACCCUCGUUGUUUCAGAUGAAUGAAUAAACUUAGGAUGAUCCUUUUACAGCUGCUGAGAUCUCAUAUUAUUUGUACUUUGAAAUAGAAAUUCAGACAUAUUUGAGGGGUGAAUUUAUUAGAUGAUGUUUGUAUUGGUAGUAAGUGAGGAAUCAUAGCCUAUUCUUUACAGAGUUAUAAGUACAGGCGUUAUGGUAAACUAGAAGUUUCGGUACAUAUUGUUACAGUAAAAAAUCUGUGAAGCUCAUUUUUCCAGAAUGUGAUUAUUUUAGCUUGUUACACUUUUUUUGUUUGUUUUGAAGCAAUACUGAUGUUUCUUCAAAACACUGAAAGGUCAAACAUGAACAAUGACAGUUCAAAUAUUAUCCCAGCUAGUGCAAAGUAGCAGAACCAAGAUAAAUGGACUUGAGUAGGGUGAUAAAUGUGCUGUUUUCACUGGUACGUAACUGUGUGUUAGUCACACUAUGUGCAGCCUCUUAUUCUAAUGUGUUGCAGGUACUGACUGUUUACAUCUGUGUAAAUAUUCUCAUCUGUUUAUGUGCGUGCAAUGGUCAAUAAACAAAAGCCUGUGCUUUCAAUUGAACCUGUUUGCCUCAUGUUGUGCAUCUAUUACUUAUUUUAUGUAAGCAUACGGGACAAGAGGCUGUGGUUUAUCGGGGAAUAAGUCAUCAUGGCUGAAGGGUGUUGUUAAGCAUGACGCAAAGCUGACUUAAUCAUGACUUAUUUACAAUACAGCACUAUUGCUUUUAUAAAAAAUUAACACACAAUACAAAUUAUAAAGCAAAAACGGGUAUCAACACACCUUUAUUGAAGUAAACUAAUUUAAAGUUUCUUUCUUUAGCUGGAAAAUCGUCCCUGACCGACUGUGAAAAGCAUCAAAAUGUUUAACAUAUAAAACUGCUUAAAACUAAAAACACACAGUAACCCGGAUGCUGCAAAUCAUUUUGAUUACGUUUAUGAUCUAUCUUUUUAUAAAGAAUCUGUCCACCUUACAUUUGUUAUUUAAAGUCCCUUUUUCCAAAUUAGCAACAAUAAGCUACUGAGUAUUUUAAAAAGUGUGCAGAUUAUAAUAGAAACACUGUAAGAUGAUUUUUUUUCUUGACAUGAUUGCUAAAAUACCUGUUUCUCAUACUUAUGUCUUUAUCACUGAAGUGGAUAUACAGCGUAGACACAGAACAGCUCUCUUUUUUCUUGGAAGUGUUUGCCCUAUAAUGAUGAGAGGUCAGGAAUGAUGUACGGAUCAGGUAUCGUCUCCCUUAUAUGGUCAGAACUGUCCACAAUAGCACAUCUUCACUGGAGAGGGAUUUUUACUGCUCUUAAAACAACAUUUACAUCAUCGGUUCGCAGCAAUGUUUGUCUAUAAUAUAAAUGAUUCUUCUGUUUUGUUUCACAAUGUAAUAAACUGUUAGUGCACAGCAACCUUGGGUUAAAGAGAUGUGCUCAAGUGAUUUACUCUUCUUUGAUAAAUAACAAAAGUACAGAUUUGUUGCCCAUUUGCUUCUGAAGCACUUUCUGUACUUUGUUUCAUCAGAGACAAUUUCAAGUGAGCUGAACUGUAGUUGCUCUAUAAGCUAAGCAUUCAUAUUAACCAUUGAAAUGGUUGUUAAAUGUCUGAAUGAAAUGCAAUAGUUAAAAAUGAAUAUGUUUAUUUUCUAAAUGUAAAUGGAUUGGCUCAGAUAUUUUCACAGGUCCCUGGACCAUAAAUAACCAUACCAUGUGCUUGCUGCUGCCAGACCAUUCAUACUAUUUGUUCACCAGGUCAUUGAUGUAUUGAACCAUUUGGAGGCUCUCCAAAGACUCAAGAACUGAUGACUGGCUGAAGGUUGUUUAUAUAGGCACUGGAGAGGAACUCAUCAUCUCUCAUCGCCAUUCACUGGUAAGUGUACAUGUAGAGAUUACACUAUACAUAAAUGUAUGCAUGCCUUUCUUUUUUCUUUUUUUAACAUUCUGUAUUAUAUAUUACGCAGUGCAUUGUAUUUAAUGUAAUAGUUAUGUUAUGACAAUGUCUAAAGAUUCUUCUAAAGAUAAACUUUAUUUUGUCCUAAAAUUAUGCAACGAUAGACUCAACUAUGACAGUACAAAUGAUGCAAUUUAUUUGUUUUAUUAUUGUUAACCAUAUAAAAAAAUACUGUGGUGUAGAU